rnacentral:lncRNA from 1 species
CGGCUAAUGUAAGGGAAACUACUUCUCCUAAAAGACAUUUCAUAUAAAACAAACCAAAACCAAAACCAAAAAAAACAAAAAACAAAAAAAGGAAAGAAAAAAAGCAAGGACUGCCAAGACUGCCUCUUUCUUAUUCUUCCAAAAGCUCCAGCUCCUGAACUGUGGAUUCUAACCAAGGUGGGUGGAGCACAGCUUGCACUGCAAGGGAAUGAAGCCAAUGCGAAGGCCCAGAGGGAAGGGAAGCGUUGUCAGAGUCUGGUGGAGAAGACACAAGAAUUUGGAGACAGCAGAGGAUACAGAGAGUCAGCCAAAUAAACUGGUUGGAUCACCUGUUCCAGUGCUUCCUACCACCAUACAGAACCUUCAUAAAUACCACUCAAAGAAGGCUCACUAUCAAUACUGUUGGUCCGUUUUCUCUGGAGGAGAAUGUGUCUCUGCUGGCUAAGGCUUUCUUUAUCUCGUCCCACUCUACUACAGCCUGCAGACCCACCCAAGACUGAGGGUGCUCAAAGCUCAGAAGGCAAAGGACUCCUUGCCACUCAACAGUAUCAGCUCAACACCUCAGCCAAGAAGAAUCAGGGAGCACAGGCACACACUCACCAUGCUGAACAGACAGCGAGG